rnacentral:lncRNA from 1 species
AAGAAAAAAACCAGAGCGCUUGACGAAAUGUCUAGAAUACCCUUCUUCCUCCGUUUUGCUACCAUCUUGUUCCUCUUCUCUUCCUCCUCCUCCGCCGAUGAACGUCUCCACUCUCGCCACUUACUCCACCAACCCUUCUUCCCUAUCACCACCGCCGCUCCACCACCGUAUCAACCAACACCGUCCUCCUCCGAACCCCCCUCGCCUUCCCCACGCUCCCACCACCACCACAAGAACCAUCCAGAGACGCCUCCACCUCACGAGAAACACCCUUUCUCCUCAGCCUCAAACCCUCCACCUCCUCCUCCGCCGUCUCCACCUCAUUCGAACACAUUCUUCCCCUCUUCAGACCCAUCCUCACCCACCUCUCACCCCCCACCAUCCCCACCCCCUCCUCCCCAUCGAGCUUCACUCCCUACUUUCCCCGCCAACAUCUCCUCCCAGUCCUCUCCCUCCUCUACCGAAGCUUCCGGUGUACACUCCCAAUUACAGAAGCACCGAGCUGUUGAACCCUAAAGGACAAGACUUUGACGGAGACGACAACGAAAACGACGAGUUUUACUCUCCGAGAGGUUCUCCGGGCCGUAAGCAGAGCCCGCCACGUGUCAAGAAACCUCCCAAGUCUUCUCUUAGUCCUAGUCUCUCGCUGAACAGCUCAAACGGCAGCGUUUCGAAGAAACCUGUUCCGACAAGACCACCUCCUCCUCCGCC